GGCGGUUCUCUUAAAGCUGGGCGUUCUCUGCAGUGGCCAAGGAGCUCGAGCUCUGUCACUCCGAAGCCGGGCGGUCAGACCUGCUUUUGUGUCCGCAUUUCUCCAGGACCAGCCUACCCCAGGAUGGCGUGGCACCCAGCACAUCCACCUGUCACCAAGCCACCAGUCUGGUUCCAAGGCCGCAUCUCUCCACUGGACCAGUGAGAGGGUUGUCAGUGUUUUGCUCUUGGGCCUGAUUCCAGCUGGGUACUUGAAUCCCUGCUCUGUGGUGGACUACUCUCUGGCUGCAGCCCUCACCCUGCACAGUCACUGGCAACUUCUUUAUUGCUGUGAAGAGACACUGUGACCAGGAGUUCAUUUGGGACUUACAGGUGUAGAGGGGGCAUUGGACAAGUGGUUACUGACUACGUUCAUGGGGACGCACUGCAGAAGGCUACCAAGGCAGGCCUCUUGGCAGUCUCAGCUUUGACCUUUGCUGGGCUUUGCUACUUCAAUUACCACGAUGUAGGCAUCUGCAGAGCGGUUGCCAUGCUGUGGAAGCUCUGACCUCUUGGUGUAGCACUUUGAUUGUAUGCCUCCUUGCCUCUGCUUUAUCAAUGCUGUUCACCUCACAAUGAGGAGGGAUGAAGAAUAAAUCCGUUGGUGGGCAGAAUGUCUUGUAAUUACAUGGCUAUUUUCAGAAUUUAUUUGUUGAGGAAUUAGGUUCACUCAUUCGUGAGUCUGAGUUCCAUUGUCACUGAGUCUGGUCG
rnacentral:lncRNA from 1 species